GGUUUUGAAGACCACUGGAGAAUUAACCCAAGGUGCAGCAUUUUCUUGAUUCCCUCUACCCUUGUGUUUUGCAGGGGAGGAGGGGUAAAAAGACCCCCAGCUUGGGCCUGCAGACUCUCACUGCUGUAUCCUCCCUCACAUCCCUGUUCCUCACCAGCCUUGCCAUGUGGCCUCUUUGGGAGCAGCUGGGUGUGGAAAACACCUUUCUGGAAAAUCAAGCCCUGUCAGACCUGUGGAGGAGGAUUAUAGAAGUCCACUCUCCUGCUCGCUCUGCUUACCCCAUGAUCAUGUCUGUGGCAUGGAGGGACCCACCAGGCCCUCCUGGAAGGGUGCUUUGUUUGGUGUCUCCUCCGUGGACGCUGGGCUCCCUGCUCCCAGUCCCGCUUCACGUGGACGCCACUGCCCCGCCCUCAUCCUGUCCACGUGCUGGGACUUUUCCUGCAAUUAGAUAUUCUCUUGGAUCUUCAGACGUUCCCUCUACUGAAAUAUUCUCCGGUCCACUCAAAGAGAGUAAGAAAAGGCCUUCUGUGGCCAUUAGCCCACUUGUUAUAAGCACGGUUAUUCUGCUUUUCACUUUCUCCGCCUUGCCCAUGGCCUGUGUCUGCAUGCAUCCUCCCCCCCGACUGCAAGCUGAGUUUAUCUGGUGGUUUGUUCCGUCUUUGGCACUAGGCGGCUCACUCCAAACAGUACAGUCUCCCCGUUUUGGUAGUGGCCAAACCCCUAGUAUGUGGAGUACUGUCUAG
rnacentral:lncRNA from 1 species